GGAGUCUGGACCGUGUCUCAGUUCCAGUGUGACUGAUCAUCCUCUCAGACCAGUUACGGAUCGUCGCCUUGGUGAGCCAUUACCCCACCAACUAGCUAAUCCGACCUAGGCUCAUCUGAUAGCGCAAGGCCCGAAGGUCCCCUCGCUUUCUCCCGUAGGACGUAUGCGGUAUUAGCGUCCGUUUCCGAACGUUAUCCCCCAC
rnacentral:rRNA from 1 species